UUGGAGGGCAAGUCUGGUGCCAGCAGCCGCGGUAAUUCCAGCUCCAAUAGCGUAUAUUAAAGUUGCUGCAGUUAAAAAGCUCGUAGUUGAAUUUCGGGACCAAUAUGUCGGUCGGGCCUCGGUACGUACUGGCAUCGUUGGUUUCUCCCUUCUGACGAACCAUGAUGUCAUUCAUUUGGUGUCGUGGGGAAUCAGGACUGUUACUUUGAAAAAAUUAGAGUGUUUAAAGCAGGCUCACGCUUGAAUACAUUAGCAUGGAAUAAUGAAAUAGGACGUUUGAUUCUAUUUUGUUGGUUUCUAGGAUCGACGUAAUGAUUAAUAGGGAUAGUUGGGGGCAUUAGUAUUCAAUUGUCAGAGGUGAAAUUCUUGGAUUUAUUGAAGACUAACUACUGCGAAAGCAUUUGCCAAGGAUGUUUUCAUUAAUCAAGAACGAAAGUUAGGGGAUCGAAGACGAUCAGAUACCGUCGUAGUCUUAACCAUAAACUAUGCCGACUAGGGAUCGGAUGAUGUUAAUUUUUUAAUGACUCAUUCGGCACCUUACGGGAAAC
rnacentral:rRNA from 1 species